CUCCUCAUCCUCCUCCUCCUCAUCCUCCUCCAGCCUCCACCGCUAUGAUGCUGCUCCUCAUCCCACAAGCUGUAAUAAUGUGUUUUAGUGUGUUAGUUAACGGACAACCGGAGGACUCCAGACUGACCGAGAGAGCUUAUGUGAAUUUACAGAAACAGAAUUUAGUCAUGCUGUGCAGUGUCUUCGCAGUCCUGCUGCUGCUGAUGAUCAUAAUGGCUGUGUGUGUCUACAAACCGCUGUCCCGUCGGUGAACCUGUUCCCGAGGACCGAGAGAUAAAGACCUUUAGUCCAGCCCGGUGCAAAGCGACACCUGCACUGAGCCCACCGAGGAGCUCAGAGCCCCCCCUACCGGUACCAAGACCACCUCCUGCCAGACUGAACUGAGGGGAAACCGAGCCCAGGCUGCUCAGUUAUUUAUUAACUGGGGUUUCAUUUGUCAUGAAAGCAGGUUGUUUAAGAUUACACCUAUUUAUUUAUUUAUUUAUUUAUAUAAUUUAAAAUGGCUUCUGUAAAGGGGUUGUUAUAAAUGAUCUGCCUACCUUUACUGCCAAUAAUCUUUGCUAUUUUACUUGUUAUUUAUUUGGAGUAAAUGCUGUAAUUACUUGUAUUUUUUUCCACUUUUAAGGCCAUGUGUUUGUCUUAUUAGCCUGUCCUGAAGGGAAAUUUGGUCAAUAAGUCUGCAGGCCUUCAAACAUUAAAUACAUUUGAGUGGCAUUACAAAGGGAGAGAGCUGUCGAUGCUUAAAUCUGUAUCGGUUAAACCUGCUCAUCAAUCUUCUAAAAUUAACUAUAGGGCUAUUUAUUUUUAUAUAUUUGAUUGUGUGACACAUCAACAACUACUAAAGGUUAAGGAAAUGUUGUAAGGAGGUGUAUUUUAUUGUCUUAUUGGCCUUUAAAAAAAGGAAAUUUGUUGUUUAGUCCACAAGUAGUAUUUCAAAGUUGCUCUAAUCCAUUUCUCAAAGGGGGGUAUGCUGGCGUACUGCAGGGGAUAUGUGAGGUUUCAUUUAAAGAUUAUCAGUCAUAAAUAAAUAGUAAACUAUUUAUACUGUAAGUUCAAUAAAAAAUACUGUAAAUGUAAGUUCAAUAUUGCUAUUUUCAAAGAAUGCAACAAAUUAAAUCACGUUCACAAUGAUAUAUUGCUGCAUGCAUAUUGUACCCUCUCAAGUAUUUUUUUCAUACCAAAAAUGUAUUGCACUCAUCAGCGGUACUAAGCUGACAAAAAAAAGAACCACUGCUCCAAUCAUCAUUGGAAAUAAUGUUGAUUAAGGUUUCUGUGCAAGUUAAGAUCAAGUAAUGACUCAAAUUUUCCCCCUACAUGUGAAAAUCUCCUACUAAAAUAAAUCUGUGGGUUUCUA